UAAUCUUCUUUUCUCUGCCGUAGCUCUUGACUUCAUUCAUGGCGAUUUAGGGUUCUUGGAAAAUCAUUGUUCUUCAUCGAUGUUUCGUCAGAUGGUUAGUCUUUAAUCUCGUUUUCGUCAUCCUCCUCUUCGUUCUCACAUACGAAAAAACGAAAUCGUACGAGUUUCGACGGUUCAUUACGAAAUAAAAGUGUUCUUAGAUUAAUAAGUUCUUGAGUUAAGACACUUAAUAGUUUUAAGUGUGUUUGAAUCUUGAAUUAUAAUCAUCGCAGGAGCCGAGAGUUCCUCUGGCAAGGACACACUGUUCACGCCACAAAAGAAGACGCAGAUAAAGAGGUAACACUAGUUUUUUUUUCUUCGUGAUCUAAACCUUAAACAUUUAUAUACUUGAAAAACAUGUUAAUUUCUGUGUUUAAUUUUUUUAGGUUCUUGAGGCUUUGGACCAUUACCGUCACAUUUAUGAAGAGUAUUUUGCAGUCCCAGUUGUAAAAGGUAUGAAGAGUGAGAAGAAGUUUGCAGGUGCACGUUAUACCACAAGCGUUGAGGUAAAAAUUACAUUUAAAAACUUGGACUGAUGUAUUUAUAAGUUGUCAUGUAGUCUCUUUAUUUACAAAUCAGUAAAUGCGAUUAUGUUUUAGGCUUUCAUACCAGAAACUGGUCGUGGUAUACAAGGUGCAAAGAUGUUUGACAUCACAUUCACAAAUAAAGAAGGAAAAAGUAAAAGGUGUGGCGAAUUCUUGGGCUUAUAGUGCCAUAACGAUUGGAGUGAUGAUAUUGACUUAUGGAGAUGACAAAGGAUUGGUGAAUCCCCCUAACGUUGCACCAAUCCAAGUCAGACUCAGUGAGGAAGGAAAUGGUCUUGAUGUCUGUGAUAGCUAACCAAGAUUGAGCUUAACCGAAGUCUGUGAUAGCUUUGAUCCAAGGGUCUUGAUGUGAUCAAGCAAGCUCAAUCUGGAACACAAAGACAGCUAUGAAAUUUAAAUCCGGCGUUUUGCAACAGCUUGAUUACACUCUUGUUCAGUCCCAAGCUUUUGUUUUUACUCCUACCAUGUAGUGUUAGCUCAUUGCAGUUCACUUUUUUUUUUCCAUAGCAUAUUGUUUAAGUUGUUUGCAUGAAGUUGAUCUUGAAUGUUUGUCUUGCUUUUCUUGUUGGCAUGAAGUUGUUUGACGUCUUCACACAAUACAUAAAUUUCAUAAAUAAUACGAUACAUGGCAUACAUUAUAUUCCAAGAAACAGAAACAAACAAGAAAAUGGUAAAACUGGACAAUAAAGGUAAGCAAGUGGCAACAUUUAGUAGUCAUCACUUACAUAAACUCUCACCGUUAAUUUUGUAGAGUAAAGAGGCAUACAAUCUCGGUAUUUAUGGGUAAGAGAAUGAUAUAAUAAACAAGACAAAAUAACAUAGAUUAGAACCAUGUUGUACUGAUAGAGAAAAGAGGUGAUUUUAUGGAUGAAGAAGAGAGAAACACAAACAAAGAGAAAAAGAUCGUGGGAGGAGGAGGAGGAGGAGAAGAACGUGGAUAAAAUAUUUUCAAAUAUAUUUUGAGAGAUUUAUGUUAGAUUUAGUUUAGAAUUAGAAAACUUCUUUAACUGAAUAUGAAAGUUUCCAUAUUUUCACGGUUUGCCUAGAAUAUGUACACUACCUAAGCAGAACACCGUAUAGUAGGUGAAAAAUGUAUUCUUCAUGUAGGCGUCAUAUAAGGUAAAAGGCAGAACAAGUUAUGUCUCGUAAUAUAACUGACAUAUAUCAUUGAGUUGUGGCUAUAUAUCGUUAUCGAGCUGUAGGUAUACCGAAUACAUCUUUCUUGAUUAUAACGUAACUGAUUCUAUCUUUGCUAGAAUAUACAAGAAAAGUUAGUUUACGGUAUAUACCCUUGAUAUAUCUAUGUUUAAAACUUAGAAUCAGACAUAUAAACUAGGUAGAUUACCAGAAUGAGUAUUCUAAUUGUAGCUAGAAGAUAAAAUAAAAUAUGAUUUCAAUUUUUUUUUUUUUAAAGUUUAAACAUAUAUAUUGUCAUACUUAUGUUUCCAACAGUUUUCAUAUUUUUUUACAUUUUUAAAAUUCAAUUUACUAUUUUUCCCAUUAAAAAAGGGUAAAACAUGUCCAGAAUUACCAAAAGUAUGAGAAGUCUUAUUGUGACAAACAAAAGUUCAAAGUGUCCCAUUUUUCCAAUUUUCCCUUUUAUAUUAGUGACCUCGAUAUACUUUAGACCAAAUGAAACCCGCAAAUAUAAUCACAAAAAAUGUUAAUUAAAUCAUCAAUUUUUAAAUUUGAUUAAAAAACAUGAACUUUUUUUUAUAAAUCAUAAAUAAAAAUUAACUUAAAUUUUAUAUAUAAAUAUUAAUUAAUAAUAGUUAAAUUUAAUUGUUAGCUCCUUUGCUAGCUUCUACAUCCUGUGUUAGUAUUAGUAUACCAUAUCCUACCAUUAAGGCACAACUAUAUAACAAAUAUAUCAAAGGGGCAUCAAGUUGAAAAGGUCAGGGAUGCUCCUUGUACAUGCAAGAGUAAUCAAGCAACACAUGCUUACUUGCAAGUUCAGGUUUAAAACAAUAUAGUAAAGAAAAAGACCUAAAACAAUUCAUGAUCAUAUUAACUUCCAGGUUAAAAACGAUAGCUAAAGUAAAGGAACCUACCCACUAUCAACGGCAUAAAAGUAUUAAGCUGACAAAUUGAGAUUAUUCCACAACAUAUAUAAACUGGAAUUAUCAACGGCAAACAUAUGAGUUACAUACAGUAGCUAAGCAUUAAGCUACAAAACAAAGAGCAAGAAAGAACCAUCAGAGAGUCAUUGGCAUUGCAUCUUAACACACUCAAAAACAUCUUGAUGAUCAGACAGAACCAAAGGUAAGCCAACAACCAUCUUCAGAUAUUUCCAAGAAAUCUCCAGGUAAGAUUAUGGGAAAAUUCUAAGUAUUUUUGGAUACUUUGGGGGUUUUUGAGUAUUUUUGGGAUCUUUAGGUACAAUUUGAGGUAUUUUAGGUUUUUUUUGGGUCCCAAAUACCUUAACCGAUCCAAAUCCAUUACUUAUCCAAAAAUUAUAUGUAUUUUAGUUGUAGACAUGAACCGACCCAAACCUUAAUCAAAAAUAUUCAAGUAGCUAACUAGAGGUCUUUUUUGGGUCCCAAAUACCUUAACCGAUCCAAAUCCAUUACUUAUCCAAAAAUUAUAUGUAUUUUAGUUGUAGACAUGAACCGACCCAAACCUUAAUCACAAAUAUUCAAGUAGCUAACUAGGUCUAAAUGUUACCCGAUAGAAACCGACCAGGGGAGUCGAAUGUCUAGACCUACAUUUAAUCAAAAUUAAAUAUUUUUAACAAACACUAAGAAAAAUAUUCAUUCUCAUUGUUUUAGUUGAGUAUCUCAUCUAAAACUAAGAUGUGGUACUAUUUUCUAGUUCUCCUAACGAGUUUGAUAUAUGGUAUUGUUGAUUUUCUAUCACUUCAACAUAUGGAUAACAGUUAAUGUGUAUAGUAACAAAAAUGUAUAUCAGCAUUUUAUUCAUUAAAAUUUGAUUCAACUAAAACAAAGAGAAUGAAUAUUUUCUAGUUCUCCUAAAGAGUUUGAUAUGGUAUUGUUGAUUUUCUAUCACUUAAACAUAUGGAUAAAAGUUAAUGUGUAUAGUAACAAAAAUGUAUAUCAUCAUUUUAUUCAUUAAAAUUUGAUUUAAGUUUUUAUGCUGUGCUCAUCAUUAACGGUAUUCGUGCUGAAAUUUUGAGUUAUUAAAAGAAAAUCAAGAGAGUUGGUGAAACCUUCUAUUUCGCUCAGCAGCUCUCAGUACCCUUCUUAUAUAAAUAACAGAGUUACAGAGACGACGACUCCCUCUCUUCUGAAAUUCAAUUUGGGGAAACUCUCGAUUCAGAUUCAAUCGAGUGACAUAAGCACGAUGGAGGUGGUUGCGACGUGGUGGAGAGAUGAUAAGAACUUCAUCUCAGACAGAGAGGUCGUGGCUCCGCCGGUUCAGAUGCUUCUGAAGCAGGUAAUUUGUGGUUCAUGGUGUUGUUAUUAUGAUCGAAUUGUUUUGGUUCUGCCAUAGUCAUGCUCAGAAGCACGAUAAACUCGAUAACCUUGAUCAUCAUCACGCAUAUCACUUGGAAUCUGCAUCUUCGGCAUUAUUUAUGAAGAUAUAACUUAUUCAGGCUAUAUACUGUUACGGAGGAAGAAGGUUCUGGCUAGGUGUAGGCAUUUAGAGAGGAUUCCAUUAAGUGGAUGGUUUCCUUGUCUCUUACAUUUUUGUUGCUUUGAAUCGGUAUGGAGUAGUUUUAGGACUGAUUUUUACUUUCUGUUGUUGUUGAUGUUGAUUUGGAUCGGUAUAGAGUGAUUUUAGGACUGAUUUGGAAUCUGCAGCUUCUUCAGUAACCUUGAUCAUCAUCACACAUACUCACUUGGUGUCACUGCUAUAUACUGUUACAGAAGAAGGUUCUAGGUCAAGAACGCACCAAGGCAUGAUUGUAUUUUUUUGUGAACCGGUACCCGGUUUGAAACAUGCGUGUGCGGAAAUUGACUUCCAAUUUGGAUAAACCAAAAAGUUGGAUAUAUUGGUUUAUUAUUUUGUAACUUUAAUGCUAAUUUUGUCAAAUUUGUUUAUGGCGUUUCAUGUUGAAUAAUUUGAAAAACGUCUUAUUAUAACUAUGCAGAACCUUAUACUAAAUGAAUUAGAUACAAAAACCUUGUCCUGAAAGAAUUAAAUACGUUCAAAAUUCAAGUAUAUGUAAAAUAUAAAUGAAUCCGCCAAAGUAGAUCACAUAAGUUUACCCAUGCGAGUUUUCUGGCCGGUUUUGAUUAGUUCGUGUAGUUCAAAUGUCAAGAUUGUUUCUUGAAGAUAUUUUUGCUUGAGUUAGCUGCUACAUUUCACUGAUUAUGAUGAUGUUUACUUUAACGAUUCUGCAUAGUCGUGUCUGAAUUGCUUGCUAGCAGCUGCAUUUUGCAGCCUGAAAUUUUGUGAUCCUAAUUCUUGCUUUCUUUCGUCUAUUUGGAUUCAUUUUGGUUUAAUUUUCUACUUCUUGUGAUGGUUAAGUACGGCUGAAUUGGGCGGCCAAUUCGCUAAUAUUGAACCUUUUCUAUCAUCUUUCUUUCCUCAAGCAUGAAACGGAGUUGAGCGGUAGGCAUUCCUUUCCAUUACAGUGGGAAAGUGGAUGCGAGUCGGCUUUCACCCUUCCAUUGCACUUUCAUGAGUCAACUUUUUUGUUUUAUUGCUCCCGCUUCCUCACAUCUGCGCUCGUCAAGCCAACUUUGCUUUUUUUGGGAGGCGUUAAAAAAUUCUUUCACCAAAGGUGUGAAUUGGGGAGGAUUGGUCGCCGAAAUAUUAACUGGAGACUGAAUCUUAAUAUACCUCAGAAGAACUACACUUGCUUCUGGAUAGAUGUGUGGGACAGAGGGCUCGUGGUACCUUCUGCCCACCCUUCCUCCUCUGCUUUGAGAACUGUGUGAACGGAGAGUGGGCAGAAGGGAAGGAGGUCUAGAUCGCUUGCUAUAAGUAAGGAAACUCCUGAGUACGGAAUUGAGACCGAAGAAAGGAGAUUCCACUCAGUUCAUAUCUUUAAGUUCGAUCAUUGACAAGGUUCAAAGAAAGGGUGGGCCGUCGGUUUGAAUCCAAUAUUAUGCACUUUUUUUUUUCGAUUUAAGUUCUUUUCUUUCUAAGAGGUGGAAUAGAAUAACCCGGUUGAAGCCUUUUUUUCAUGCUUUUCCCAGGGGUCUGGAGAAAGCUGCAAUCAAUAGGAUUUUCCUAAUCCUCCCUUCCCGAAAGGAAGAACGUGAAAUUCUUUUUCCUUUCCGCCUCGAAGUGGGAGCAGGUUUGAAAAAGGAUCUUAGAGUGUCUAGGGUUAGGCCAGUAGGGUCUCUUAACGCCAACCCGAGCUGGUCUUGUAAAAGAUCCGCUACAGAGCGAAUACGUUUAUUUUUCAAAUAUCCCCCUUAUCUAUUUCUGGGUAAAUAACUUGGUGACUAACAACGGUGAUCUCGUAGUUCCUACGGGGUGGAGACGAUGGGGUCGGUCCAUGGAUCCUUCCUUUUGCCGCAUUUCGCUCAAAGGGUUGAAGGGAGAUAGUGCAUCAAGCGACAUGAAUUUUAAUGGAAUUUGAUGAUUUCAAUAGUUGAGAAGAUUUUACAAGUUUUAUCCAAUAUUCUUACAUAGAUUUUCAUUACUUGUGUAUAGAAUUCUAUUGAUUGUUAUUAACUUUUAAGGUAAGAAAUUAAUGGUAUAAUAGGAGAAAAGAAAAAAAAAUCAUUUCAGAUAUUAAAAAGACAAAAUGUCAUUGUACCUUUUAAUAUGUAGAUAUAUAAAUAAAAGUUAUUUUUUAUAAUUUUAAAAUAUAUGGUUUUAAAUUUGAACUUUUUAUAUAAAAGCUUUCGAUUUUUUUUUCAAAUUGUUUUUUUUAAUUCUUUUUGAAUUUCGAAAAUACUUUUUAAAACUAUUUUUUUUUACUUUUAUUAAAUUUUUAAUAUUUGUUUUCUACUUUUAUGUUAAAGUUGUGAUUUGUAUUAUUUUAUUGUUCAAUUUUGUGUGUUUUUGGAUGCGAGUGUAUUUUAUUGCAUAGAUUUCAAAAAUCUUAUGGGUAUAGAUGAUAUUCUCAAAGUUUAGUCUUAUGAGUAAAAACAAAGAAAAUUUACAUCCCAAUAACAAUAGAUUUUAAUAGAAUCUUAAAAUCAAUGAAAACUAAACUUUUUCAAUAAUAAAAGAUUUUGAGUGGAAUUUAAAAGUCAUCAUCCCAAUAACAAUAGAUUCUAAUUAAAUUUUAAAAAUUCAUAAACCAAUAACAAUGGAAUCUCAAAAUUUAAUAACUCUUCUUGAAUUCUUCUACCAAUAACCCCCCCUAAGAAUUGUUUUGGAUUAUAUUUUUUGUUUUAAAAAUUAGCGUAUAAAAUGAGAUUAAUAUUUCAUUCAUAAAUUUAUAUAUUUGUUAGAAUUUAUAGAUUUGAAUUUUAACUAUUUUAUUUGAUUAUUUAGACAUUUCUUAUGCUGAAUACAUAUCAUAUAAUAUAAAUUUACUUUUAUAUGUAACUUGAUAAAACUAAAAAUAAAUUUGGAGAUGAAAUUCAUUUUGAAUAAAGAUACACAAUACUUUUUGUAUAUGUUUAUAUAAAUUUUAUAUAUAUGGUAAUUAUUAAUUUAUGAUUUUAAUGAGACCAUAUAUUUAUUUAAGAGUUUUCUAAAUAUUAUUAUCUUAUUAUUUAGAUGUUUAAUUUUAUACCGGUCCAACUUAGGACCUAAAAAUAUAUUAAUUUAUAAAGUAUUAAUUUAUAUUGUAUUAAUUUAUAGAAUUUAUACCGUAUAUAAACAUGUAAAUAUUGCUUCUCAUUUGACCUUGCUGCACCCGGGAGAAAGGUAAUAGUUAUAGGUUUCUACUAUGGGGUCAUCCUCAGUAAUUCUCUUUCAAAUGAUCUCCAAGAGAAAGGAAAUUUGUAGGUUUGGUGUGAGCACUUAAUAGCGGAUCAAUAUCCUCUAUAUAUUAAUCCUGGAGCAUUACAACAUGUUUUGAUAGCCAUGUGUCAUCAUUAAGAUGAUUCUUAGAAUCAUUGGAAAAAUAAGUUGGUUCAUAUAAAUAUAUAUUAUGCUUCUGAAACUAACUAUCAAAUUGAUUAGUAGUGUACAAAAGAAUAUUCACAGUUUUUUUCUUAAAUAAAUGCUACGAAAUUACCUAAUAUGAUUAACAUAUAUAUGAUAAUUAAUGAUUAUGAAUAAUACAUAUUCGAUAAUAAUUUUCUUAUAUGUUAUAUUUUGAUUUUUUUAAACGACUAUAAAUUACUAAAAAUAGUAAAAGUCUCACAUUGAAAAUUUGUGAUCAAUGAUUUAACUCUUUUUUGUUCAAGAAAAGUACAAAUAAUCAUAAAUCGUAUGAAUAUGAAGUCUCAUAAUAGAUAUAUAUAUAUAUAUAUAUAUAUCAUUUAAAUAAAUUUAUAUACUAUAUAAAAAUCUAAAAAUAUGUUAAUUUCAAAAUUUUCUUUGAAAAAAUUAUUGAGAUCUAAAUAUUUUAAUUUUGACAUAUGUAUUAAUGAAUAUCAUACUAAUCUUUGUGAUUAACGGUUUAAAUUUUUGUUACAGAAAAUAUAUGAAUGUUAAUAAAAUCAUAUAAGUAGGAAGUGUCAAUAACAAAUAUUUAUAUUAAAAUAAUAUUAUAUAUAUCUAAGUCAAUAUCACUAAAGUUUAAUUAUUUACCAUAUAAAGUAAAUAAAGUGAUUGUUUUGAUUUAUUUACCAAAACCAUGAUUGUAAAUAAACAAAAGAUAUUGAUUUUGAUUUAUGUGCUUACUCAAAUGUAUAUACUUUCAUGUAUACACAUUAUUUUUUAAAUAGGUAGUUUCUAAUAUGUUAUUUGAUCCUGACAAUCUUAGAAAUACACUUAUUCAAAUCAAAGUGAUUUAUAAUAUUGGAACCACUAUAUAUAUAUAUAUUAUUUUAUUCAAAUUAAGUAUUUUAGUCUUGAUUUUUAUUCCUAAAAAUCUUUUAGUGAAAUAUCAUGACAAGAUUUCAAUCACCAUUUUUUGAGGUUGUUUGAAGAAUGGGAGAUUUGAUAAUUCGUCUAAUAUUUAUUUCUCCCUAAUAUCAUAACUAGCUAUUAUAAUUGUAAGAAUAAGAUAUUUGAACUAUUUAUCAUAAAGUUUCUGGUUUAUCAUUUAAUAAAUCAAACAAUUCUUAGUUUAUACAUAGUUUACAUAUACUAGAAGACUUAUUCUUAGGUUCACUCCCCAGGAUGAACCUUUAGGUUCACUAACCAAUAGGAUUGUUUCAUUUUAUAUUCGAUAUCUUUUAAAAAAGGAAACAAAAUAUUGUCAAAUUAUAUUAUGUUUUUAAAAUUAAAAAGGUAAAAAAAAAAUAGUAGUAAUUAAAAAAAAAAUAUUU